GACGAACGCUGGCGGCGUGCUUAACACAUGCAAGUCGAACGGAAAGGCCCGGCGCUUGUGGGGUGCUCGAGUGGCGAACGGGUGAGUAACACGUGAGGAACCCGCCCUUGACUGUGGGAGAACAUCAGGAAACUGGGGCGAAUACCGGAUAGGAGCUCCUGCUGCAUGGUGGGGGUUGGAAAGAGUCGGCGGUUGGGGAUGGACUCGCGGCUUAUCAGCUGGUUGGUGGGGUAGGGGCUUACCAAGGCUUUGACGGGUAGCCGGCCUGAGAGGGUGACCGGCCACCUUGGGACUGAGGUACGGCCCAGACGCCUACGGGAGGCAGCAGUGGGGAAUAUUGCACAAUGGGCGGAAGCCUGAUGCAGCGACGCCGCGUGCGGGAUGACGGCCUUCGGGUUGUAAACCGCUUUCGCCUGUGACGAAGCGUGAGUGACGGUAAUGGGUCAAAAAGCACCGGCUAACUACGUG
rnacentral:rRNA from 1 species